CCAGGGUCUUUAUUUGCUCAGAUGUCGGCUUGGCCUUUCUUUUAUUGAGUUGUACUGCCACGUGGCACAAGUUUUGUCCACGUAAGCAUGUCACGUCACGAGGAUAAAAAUUGGGAUAACAUUAGGGAUUGGAGUCUUCCCAACCCCACAAAAAUAUUAUACUUUUACAAACUCGUGUCCAUUCCCAAAAAGGGGGACAAAUUCAAUGAUGGCUUCUAUUCACUACAACCUCAUCCAACCAACGAAACCCCAGUCCUAUUCAAUUUCCAAAAGAAUGUCAAAGACUAUCAUUAUCAGUGUUAUACCAAAGAGGCUUAUUUCUGACAAUGCAAUGAUUGAGUUUGAGUACAUUAAUCCUAUCAAACAACACAAGAAAGGUUAGAAGGGGUUUCUUUCUUAUAAGGCUGACAUGGAUAAGGUCAAUGAUUGGGUUGACUGGGGCUUCUAUCGUGGGAUGAUGGAGCGACUGGGGUUUCAUUCUAGUUAGGUUGGGUUGAUCAUGAGAUGUGUUGCUACAAUGUCGUAUGUAAUCAAUGUUAAUCAUGACAUCAUUGGGAAUAUUGUUCCUACUCAAUGGCUUCGUCGAGGGAAGAGUAAAAGUGGGUUGUUUCAAUCCAUUUUAGAUUGUAUGUGGAAUAAGCUGUUUAGAUGGAAGAGUAAGCUAUUUUGUUCUAGCGUCCAUGAAGUCCUCUUGAAGUCAGUGAUUCAAGCAAUACCAAUUUAUGCUAUGAGGUUGUUUAAGAUUCAUGUGGGCAUUGUGAAUGAAAUUCAUUGGCUUUUUGCUCAUUUCUGGUGGGGGUGGGUGACCCUGAUAAACAAAUUAUGCACUCGUGUACAUGGUCUCGUUUGUGUUGGUACAAGUCGGAUAGUGGUAUAGGAUUUCGGGAUACGUUCCUUUUUAUUCAAGCUUUAUUGGUCAAGGAAGCUGCACAAUUAUACAUUUUUCCUGACUCUCUAGCGGCUAAGUAUUCUUUGAGGUCGUGAUUUAUGGAAGAAAGGGACUCGUUGGCUUGUGAAUGAUGGGACUCAGGUUUGUACCCAUGAAGAUGCUUGGGUUCCAAAAGAUCAUGUGGGUUGUACUUUUUUUCUUCAGAGUAGUUAUACAUUUCAAUAAGUUUGUGAUCACAAGACGGUUUCGGGUUAGUGGAAUGUCUCUUUGAUUAAUGUUCUUUUUGAUGCAGGUGAGGCUAAGACUGUUCUAUCUAUCCCUGUGUCUAUUUUAUGCUAGUCAGGAUUGUUUGAUUUGACACCACACUGAGAAUGGCCAAUAUACUGCAAAAAGUGAGUAUUGGAGCUCCGUGGCAAGGUUGGGGUGGGGCCAUGUAGCAGCCUCGUUGGUGGAAAUUUAUGUGGUCUUUGUCCAUCCCCCCACAAGUGAAGAAUUUUAUUUGGAAAGCAAAGUUGAAUUUCUUGCCUUGUUAUGCUAAUUUAUCUAGACAUGGAAUAGAAGCGCCUAAGGUUUAUCCUAUUUGCUUCCAGAAUAAUGAAAUAAAUGUGCAUGCUCUUUGAUUUUUCCCCUCCCUUAAAGGGAUUAUGCAAGAGAGGGAGUUGAAAGGUCUUGAUGUACUUAAAGCAAUUUCUAAUUUUUAUGAGCUUUUGUUUGGCUGUAUGGAUAUUAUCUCAAAGCAUGAAAUGGAGGAGUUCGUCGUUCUUCGUUGGCGAAUAUGGCAUAGACAAAACACUUUCAUCCAUGAUCAUAAAUUACUUCGGAUUCUAUGACUAGCUAGUGGUCUUUGAUUUUCCUUUGGCAGUAUCAAGAUGCUCUGUCUCCUUUGGCUGCUAUGGAUAUGGGGCCAUGUGCUCCAAGUGUGGGUAGUCCUUCUCAUGGGACAACUAUUGUUGAUUUAGUUUUGGGUGAUGUUGAUUUAUUUAUGGAUAUUGACAUUAAUGAUCAAGAUUGAAAUUGACCUCGGGGCGGUGGUGAAGACUCAGAACGAUGAGUUCUUUCGUUCGGUGGCUUCUCCAACGAGUGUUGGCUUUGCAGCUUGUGUGGCGGAGGCUACGACUUUGUUGCAAGGCCUUCUUUUUUGUUUGCGGCUUCGUUAUAGGAGUCUUGCGGUGUUCUCUGAUUACCUCUGUUUGUGGCAAGCUACUUUUAGUAAUUAUAGGCGGCCAUAUGAGUUUAGUACCAUUGUGCAUGACAUUAAAAAAGACUUCUCUUUUUAUCAUAGAUAAUUUUUUUUUAAUUGUAGUUGGGCUCAUAAUGUUAUAUCUCAUUUUUUAGCUAAUAUCAUUUUGUUUUUAAAUUUGUCUAAAGUUUGGCGGCCUGACUUACCUCUCGGUCUCUAAGUUUAACUAUUUUGCGAUGUCUGUGACUUUAUUAGUUUUGUGCCUUUUAAUGGAAUUUUUUCUUUCGCUAAAAAAAAUAAAAAAAAAUGGAUCAUUGGAUCUUGAUUUAAUGUAAAAUUCAAGACAAGAAACCAUCGAUAGAUAAUAAUACUAGUAACCAUUAAGAGGGCACCAAAUUUAUAUGUGAAAUGUUCUUGCCAAAAAAAAAAAUGUAGAAGAAGAUUUUUAUAUGAAAUGAAAGUGAAAUGAAUUGUUAAAUCAAAAAAAAAAAAAAAGAAA